ACUGAGACACGGCCCAGACUCCUACGGGAGGCAGCAGUGGGGAAUAUUGCACAAUGGGCGAAAGCCUGAUGCAGCGACGCCGCGUGAGGGAUGACGGCCUUCGGGUUGUAAACCUCUUUCGACAGGGACGAAGCGCAAGUGACGGUACCUGUAGAAGAAGCACCGGCCAACUACGUGCCAGCAGCCGCGGUAAUACGUAGGGUGCGAGCGUUGUCCGGAAUUACUGGGCGUAAAGAGCUUGUAGGCGGUUUGUCGCGUCGUCCGUGAAAACUUGGGGCUCAACCCCAAGCUUGCGGGCGAUACGGGCAGACUUGAGUACUGCAGGGGAGACUGGAAUUCCUGGUGUAGCGGUGAAAUGCGCAGAUAUCAGGAGGAACACCGGUGGCGAAGGCGGGUCUCUGGGCAGUAACUGACGCUGAGAAGCGAAAGCGUGGGUAGCGAACAGGAUUAGAUACCCUGGUAGUCCACGCCGUAAACGGUGGGUACUAGGUGUGGGUUUCCUUCCACGGGAUCCGUGCCGUAGCUAACGCAUUAAGUACCCCGCCUGGGGAGUACGGCCGCAAGGCUAAAACUCAAAGGAAUUGACGGGGGCCCGCACAAGCGGCGGAGCAUGUGGAUUAAUUCGAUGCAACGCGAAGAACCUUACCUGGGUUUGACAUACACCGGAAACCUGCAGAGAUGUAGGCCCCCUUGUGGUCGGUGUACAGGUGGUGCAUGGCUGUCGUCAGCUCGUGUCGUGAGAUGUUGGGUUAAGUCCCGCAACGAGCGCAACCCUUAUCUUAUGUUGCCAGCGCGUAAUGGCGGGGACUCGUGAGAGACUGCCGGGGUCAACUCGGAGGAAGGUGGGGACGACGUCAAGUCAUCAUGCCCCUUAUGUCCAGGGCUUCACACAUGCUACAAUGGCCGGUACAGAGGGCUGCGAUACCGUGAGGUGGAGCGAAUCCCUUAAAGCCGGUCUCAGUUCGGAUCGGGGUCUGCAACUCGACCCCGUGAAGUUGGAGUCGCUAGUAAUCGCAGAUCAGCAACGCUGCGGUGAAUACGUUCCCGGGCCUUGUACACACCGCCCGUCACGUCAUGAAAGUCGGUAACACCCGA
rnacentral:rRNA from 1 species